rnacentral:rRNA from 1 species
CCAGACUCCUACGGGAGGCAGCAGUGAGGAAUAUUGGUCAAUGGACGCAAGUCUGAACCAGCCAUGCCGCGUGCAGGAAGACGGCUCUAUGAGUUGUAAACUGCUUUUGUACGAGGGUAAAUGCAGGUACGUGUAUCUGUUUGAAAGUAUCGUACGAAUAAGGAUCGGCUAACUCCGUGCCAGCAGCCGCGGUAAUACGGAGGAUCCAAGCGUUAUCCGGAUUUAUUGGGUUUAAAGGGUGCGUAGGCGGUUUUAUAAGUUAGAGGUGAAAUCUCGGGGCUCAACUCCGAAAUUGCCUCUAAUACUGUAGGACUAGAGAGUAGUUGCGGUAGGCGGAAUGUAUGGUGUAGCGGUGAAAUGCUUAGAGAUCAUACAGAACACCGAUUGCGAAGGCAGCCUACUAAACUGCCACUGACAUUGAUGCUCGAAAGUGUGGGUAUCAAACAGGAUUAGAUACCCCGGUAU